UAGAGUUUGAUCCUGGCUCAGGACGAACGCUGGCGGUGCGCCUAAUGCAUGCAAGUCGAACGGGCGGAGGGGCUUCGGCCCCCGAGCUAGUGGCAGACGGCUGAGUAACACGUAAGUGAUCUGCCCCGGAGAGGGGAUAACCCGGAGAAGUCCGGCCUAAUACCCCGUACGCUCCCUUUACUGCGGUAUAGGGAGGAAAAGUUCCGGCGCUCUGGGAGGAGCUUGCGGCCUAUCAUGGUAGUUGGUGGGGUAAAAGCCUACCAAGCCGAAGACGGGUAACCGGUGUGAGAGCACGAUCGGUCAGAGGGGGACUGAGACACGGCCCCCACUCCUACGGGAGGCAGCAGCAGGGAAUCUUGCGCAAUGGGCGAAAGCCUGACGCAGCGACACCGCGUGGGGGAUGAAGGCUUUCGAGUUGUAAACCCCUUUUCCCGGGGAUGAGAAAGGACAGUACCCGGGGAAUAAGGUUCGGCUAACUACGUGCCAGCAGCCGCGGUAAUACGUAGG
rnacentral:rRNA from 1 species